CGCACGGGUGAGUAUCGCGUUUGUAACUACCUUUAACUGGAGAAAUAGCCCGAAGAAAUUCGGAUUAAUACUCCAUAACACUAUGAUCUGGCAUCUUAUUAUAGUUAAAGCUCCCGGCGGUUAAAGAUGGGCAUGCGUAACAUUAGAUAGUUGGUGAGGUAACGGCUCACCAAGUCUACGAUGUUUAGGGGGUCUGAGAGGAUGGUCCCCCACACUGGUACUGAGACACGGACCAGACUCCUACGGGAGGCAGCAGUGAGGAAUAUUGGUCAAUGGGCGCAAGCCUGAACCAGCCAUGCCGCGUGAAGGAUGACAGCGCUACGCGUUGUAAACUUCUUUUGUACAGGAAGAAACGCUUCUACGUGUAGAAGUCUGACGGUACUGUACGAAUAAGCAUCGGCUAACUCCGUGCCAGCAGCCGCGGUAAUACGGAGGAUGCAAGCGUUAUCCGGAUUUAUUGGGUUUAAAGGGUACGUAGGCGGAAAAUUAAGUCAGUAGUGAAAUCCUGCAGCUUAACUGUAGAACUGUUAUUGAUACUGGUUUUCUUGAAUAUAGUUGAGGUAGGCGGAAUGUGUAAUGUAGCGGUGAAAUGCUUAGAUAUUACACAGAACACCGAUUGCGAAGGCAGCUUACUAAGCUAUGAUUGACGCUGAGGUACGAAAGCGUGGGGAGCGAACAGGAUUAGAUACCCUGGUAGUCCACGCCGUAAACGAUGAUCACUCGUUGUUGGCAAUACAUCGUCAGCGACCGAGCGAAAGCAUUAAGUGAUCCACCUGGGGAGUACGCUC
rnacentral:rRNA from 1 species